rnacentral:rRNA from 1 species
GGGGAAUAUUGCACAAUGGGGGGAACCCUGAUGCAGCAACGCCGCGUGAAGGAAGAAGGUUUUCGGAUCGUAAACUUCUUUGACCGGGGACGAUAAUGACGGUACCCGGAAAACAAGCCACGGCUAACUACGUGCCAGCAGCCGCGGUAAUACGUAGGUGGCGAGCGUUGUCCGGAAUUACUGGGUGUAAAGGGCGCGCAGGCGGGAAGGUAAGUCAGAUGUGAAAACCCGGGGCUCAACUCCGGGAAUGCACCUGAAACUAUUUUUCUUGAGUGCCGGAGAGGAAAGCGGAAUUCCUGGUGUAGCGGUGAAAUGCGUAGAUAUCAGGAGGAACACCAGUGGCGAAGGCGGCUUUCUGGACGGUAACUGACGCUGAGGCGCGAAAGCGUGGGGAGCAAAC